CCCGCUGAGAUUAAGCAUAUCAAUAAGCGAAGGAAAAGAAACUAACAAGGAUUCCCUUAGUAACGGCGAGCGAACCGGGAAGAGCCUAGCUUGAAAAUCAGACGUCUUUGGCGUUCGAAUUGUAGUCUGCAGAAGCGUCCUCAGCGACGAACCUGGCCCAAGUUCCCUGGAAAGGGCACCAGAGAGGGUGAGAGCCCCAUCGUGCCCGGACACUGUCGCACCACGAGGUGCAGUCUACGAGUCGGGUUGUUUGGGAAUGCAGCCCCAAUAGGGCGGUAAAUUCCGUCCAAGGCUAAAUAUAGGCGAGAGACCAAUAGCGAACAAGUACCGCGAGGUAAAGAUGAAAAGGACUUUGAAAAGAGAGUCAAAGAGUGCUUGAAAUUGUCAGGAGGGAAGCGGAUGGGGGCCGGCGAUUCAUCCCGGUCAGAUGCGGAACGGAGCAAUCCGGUCCGCCGAUCGAUUUGGGCCGUGGCCCGACACGGAUUGAGGUGGUGACCUAAGCCCGGGCUUUUGGUACGCCCGCGGAGACGUUGCUGCCUUAAUCGUGGUCUGCAGCAUGCGCCUCACGGCGUGCCUCGGCAUCUGCGUGCUCAAGGCUUCGGCCUGUGGGCUCCCCAUUCGACCCGUUUUGAAACACGGACCAAGGAGUCUGACAUGUGUGCCAGUCAACGGGUGAGUAAACCCAUAAGGCGCAAGGAAGCUGAUUGGCUGGAUCCCGCACGGGUGCACAGCCGACCGACCUUGAUCUUCUGACAAGGGUUCGACUGUGAGCAUGCCUGUCGGGACCCGAAAGAUGGUGAACUGUGCCUGAGCGGGGUGAAGCCAGAGAAAACUCUGGUGGAGGCCCGCAGCGAUACUGACGUGCAAAUCGUUCGUCUGACUUGGGUAUAGGGCCAACAGACUAAUCAAACCAUCUAGUAGCUGGUUCCCUCCGAAGUUUCCCUCAGGAUAGCUGGAGCUCGGAAACGAGUUAUAUCGAGUAAAGCCAAUGAUUAGAGGCACCGGGGACACCAUGUCUGCGACCUAUUCUCAAACUUUAAAUAGGUAGGACAGUGUAGGAACCCGUUAAAAAAAAGAAAAAGAAAAGAGUGGUCGAGUAUCUUUGUGGUGGUCGAGUCACGGGCGAUAAGGAUCGAUCGAGAAGUUUUGAAGUACGAGGUGGGCGAAGAAGUGAUCGUGAGUGAACUAUGAGUCGAAUAAUUUGCUCGACCAUAGUUAGAAGAUGUCUUAGAUUGAUGAGACGGACGUUUUGGAAGCAUAACAUUUUUGAAAGCACGACGGUUUAGAAGCUCGACGUUUUGGAAGAAUGACGUUUCUUCAGCACGAAGUUUUCCACGAAACUUCGUAUCAGCGGAAUAUUAUUUU
rnacentral:ncRNA from 1 species